rnacentral:misc_RNA from 1 species
GAUGAAGAACGCAGCGAAAUGCGAUAAGUAAUGCGAAUUGCAGAUCUCCGUGAGUCAUUGAAUCUUUGAACGCACAUUGCGCCCCCUGGUAUUCCGGGGGGCAUGCCUGUCCGAGCGUCAUUACAACCCUCAAGCUCAGCUUGGUGUUGGGCCCCGCCGCCCCGGCGGGCCCUAAAGUCAGUGGCGGUGCCGUCCGGCUCCGAGCGUAGUAAUUCUUCUCGCUCUGGAGGUCCGGUCGUGUGCUCGCCAGCAACCCCCAAUUUUUUUCAGGUUGACCUCGGAUCAGGUAGGGAUACCCGCUGAACUUAAGCAUAUCAAUAAGCGGAGGA